GCCGCGGUGGUGGAAUGGUAGACACUCGGGACUCAAAAUCCCGUGAUCGCAAGGUCGUGAGAGUUCAAGUCUCUCCCGCGGCAUCA
rnacentral:tRNA from 1 species